UGAACAUCAAGUGUUCUCACUUGCGCAUAGAAGAAGAAGCGAGAGAGACAGAAGAGAAAGUGAAGUGAAAGAGAAAUAAAGAGAAACAGCAGAGCUUGUGUUUUUUUUUUUUCACUUCAAAAGAGGUAUCAUAAUGCUUUAAUGGCCGAUCAGAUCACAGAGGAGCAAUAAUCAGAACAAGAACCAAACAACCCGAGAGAUUAUCUCAACACAUACUUUUAAACUGUUUUCUUUUUCCUUUAUUAUAACAUGAAAUGUUAAAUUCGAAUAUACCAAAAAAUGUUUGAAAGAAACCUGCAACUAACUUGUUUGUUUCAUUUGCUCGGUACUAAUUAGAAACUAAUCGUAAUCUAGAAAUCAGAAACCAUUUAAUGACUGGUUAUCAAACCUAACCAUGGUUAGACCAUUUUUCCUAUCCUCUUUACCCAUCUCUUUUCACCCAUGGUAAAGUGAAUAGUUCAUACUGCUGCACUAGGGUAAAAAGAUAAGAUAUGUUGAUGAAUGUAAUUGGGAAAUGGUGAAAUAUGUAAAGCAAAUUUACUAAAUGAUAUAACUGGUAGACGACUAGGUAAAUAGUAAUUAAGAUUGUUACCCCUAAGAAAAGACAUUUUUUUUAUUUAUUUCUCAUCCUUUAUUCUAUCAAAUUGACCUUUACCAAAACAAAAUGUAAUUCUAAUGGAAUGCUAUUGGGAGAUGAUUUGUGCCCAGUUGACGAAUUUUAAAACUGAUAGAUUUUAAAAGUUUUUUUUUUGUAAAAGAAGAUUUUAAAAGUUAUGUGGAUUAUGAAAAUAAUAUAUAUAUAUAUAUAUAUAAUUUUGAUUUGUAAAAUUCUGUAACCCUUUUUAUAAAUUGAUAUAGACCUCCACAAUGUUAUAAAACCGGUCUAGGCAUCUAGACGGCAACAAAUCAGGUAGAAAUGAAACGAUUUGUUCAAACCGUGUUUUUUUUAAUAUUGGUCUAUGCAUUAAAAAAUGGUGUAGGGCGUCUGCCUAAACAUUGAUCAUUUAUAAGGCGGCUAACCACCUCCUAGCAAUUUUUUGAUCAUUGGAUUUUUAUGGAUUGUAUUAAUAGUUUUGUCAUUCUUUUUGUAAAGUAAAUUUAUGAUGUAUAGCAUGUUUAUUUGUCAUUUCGUAAAAAAAAAUAUUUGUUUAAAAUAAAAUAAGAAGGGUACAUGUAUAAUUAUGUUAAUAUGAUCAGCUGAAUACUAUAUAUUAAUAGUUUUAACUAUAUUCUAUUUGUCUGGAAAUUGUUAUGCUAUUUUAUUUAAUCACGAAAACAUAAUUAAAGAAAACAAUAAUUAUACAAUGAAAAAUAUAAAAAUAUAGAGGAUGAUGAAUUAUAUAUUUGUUAACAAUAGUUAUUUUGAAAAUCUCAUAGAUUCGCAUAGUAUUUUGAAUUUUUUAUAAUGAGUAAUAAAUGUAAAAGAUUCAUCUCUUAGUAACACUAGAGUUUGAAUUAGAGAAUCAAAUAUAAGUAAAAAAAUUUGAAUAGUAAGAAAUUUUAAAGGAUUUUAUGUCAAACCAAUAACAAAGGACUUUACCAAAAUUUUAAAAAUUUAUAUACCAAUAGCAAUGUAAUCUCAAAAAGUUUAUUAAAAUUUAAGUGACAAUACCAGCAUUGUCUGGAAAUUGUUAUGCUAGUUUAUUUAGUCAAAAAGAAUUUAUAUUGAAAUGACCAAUUUGAAUAUUAUUUUAGUCAAAAUUUAUUUUCGUUUAUUUACUGGUAAUAUAUGUUACCAACACCAUUAGUGUAAAAUUAAAACAGCAUUGUUUCUUAUAACAUCCAUAAUUUUCAUUUUAAAACAAAAAAAAAUUGUCAUGAUUUCAAAUUUAUAUGUUUUCAAAAAUAUACAAAGAGCCAUCAAAACAUCAAGUGAAAUUUAAAUGGAAGAUGAGUUAAGUAUAAUAUUUUGCAUUCCUUAAGUAAAAUUUUGAAUGAAUUUUAAAGCAAAUUUCCAGAUUUCACAAUUUUCUUGAAAAAUAUCAUCAUACAUUUUUGUCCCAAAAAUUAAUAAUUAUAAAAUUGGUUUGAGUGAUAAGAAAGCAAGAUAUGACUUUUUUAUUACCCUCAAUAAAUUAGUAGUUUAGAGAGAGAUCGAAUUUGAGAAGAAUACUCGAAAUCAUGAUGUAUGGACCGGGAAAUAAAAUUGGGGAGUUUGAAAGUUAAAAAGAUGUCAUUUGUUUGUUUUACUUGUUAGAAUAUUCAUCUUUUUCUAAAAAAAUAAACUAUUUUAAUAAUUUACCCUAAAAGAGUAAAUAUAGUGUUGUUCUUUUUGUUUUAAUUGAUUCUAAGGGAAUUUGGUAAACAAUGAAUGCAUCUAGUAUAAAUUUCUUCCACAAUUUUAUUUUUGUAUAUCAAUUUAACUAAAUAUUAUUUAAAUAAAUGCUUUAAUUUUUAAAUAAGAAUAAUAUUUCACAUGAUUGGUUCAAAAAAUUUGCAAUUUUUUUAAAAGGUUGACCAAAAAAAUAUUUUAUUUUUAGAUGAAAUUUCAAAUUUAUUAAUUUAUAGAAAAAACUGACAUUUAGAAAAGAAUCAAGGUUAUAAGAAUAUCAAUAGAAUUUAAAAUUAUGAAAGAACAUAAUUUAUACAUUAAAGACUAUAGGAUAAUCUGGAACCAUCUUUGUAGUACACAUGCAUAUUUGUGCUGAAGGUUGUAUUUUAGAGGCAUGAUCUGUAUGAUAUGCUGGUACUGAUCCGUAGAUGUCUAUUGCAUGUCAUGUCGCCUAGCCUUCUUCUCUCGCCAUAUAUGGUAGAUUGUCAUUUGGAAAACCAGUUUGAUCAAAACAAAGUGGAGUCGUUGAAGUCUAGGUUAUUAUACCAUUGUCAGCGUCUAUUGUUAACUCAGAUUUGUUUGCGAUUCAAAUAUUCCUCAAACCAGACUUUUUCAAACAGUGAAACGAGUGAGGAUAAUAAAAAAUAAUAUAAUUUCUUGUCUCAUCCCUCUCCGCAUAACUCUCACCCAUGUGUUAUACCCCAAAAUCCUACACCCUACUCCGACCAGUUAGUAUAAUAUGUACUAGAUUUUGAUAUGUGUUUAGAAAACGCAUAUUUUUUUUGAAUAAAUAAAAAUGUUUGAUAUCAAUUAGUAUUUGAUUUUAUUUACAUUAUUGAGUUACAAAGAUGUAGUAUAUCGAAACAACAAUUGCUUUUUAUUUAAAACUAUAUCAUUUAUCAAUUAGUUCAUUUAAGAUUUUUUUCUGUAUGUUAAAUUGUCAUUUUUAUAUUUGUGUACAUUUUAGAAGAGUUACAUUUGUUGAAUCGGUGAGACAUAAUACUCACUUAUUUGCAGAUUUUUGACUAAUUUAUUAAUAUAUAUUUGUAAAAACUUUAAUAGUUUUAACAAUGCUUACCUAUCCGAUCCAGACCCGCGGUCGAACCGGUAGAUAUUGUAUAUAAUCCAGUUCGGAUUUCGUUAAAAUCUAAUAUUUAAAAACCAGAUAAAAUUUUGUUAAUAUACGACCCAACACUAGUUGAUCCGAUAAAAACCAUAUAAAUUUGAAAAAAUAAAAUUAACAUGAUCCAAAUUUUAAUAUAAAUGUUUUUAUUUGUGAUUCUUUAAACUCAAUUACGCAAAUAUAUUUGAAUAACAAACCAACUACAACAUUGUGUGUAUAGUUAACAUAAACUUUUAUGCUAUAAUGUUUUCUACCGCGGGUCUGAUUAGUAUAAGUUAUAGCAUUAAAUGUUAGUAUGCUAAUUUCAUAUUUAUUAAUCAGAGAAUAUAGUUAGAUUAUUUUUUACUGUAAUAUCCAUUUUACAUUCCCUAAAAUAUCUCUUGUUUUCAAUGUAAAUAAAAAACAAGAGCAUUGACUAUCAUAUAGUUAGAGAAAUACUCCCUCCAUUUUUAAUAUAAAUCGUUUUACAGCUAUACACAUAGAUUAAAAAAUCAUUAAUUUCUUAUAUUUUCUAUACAAAAACAUCAUUAAUUAUUUACUUAACCACAAUUCAACCAAUAGAAAAAUAGAAAAUAUAUUAUUAAUGGUCAGACAACAUUAAUUAUUAAUAAAUUUUACAUUGAAAACCGAAAACGACAUAUAAUUUAUAACAAAAAAGUUUCUCUAAAACGACUUAUAUUAAAAACGGAGGGAGUAUAAAAUAAGACAAAAAAAAAUAUUUAAGUCUAAUGUAAUGGUGCAACAACCUUGUCUAAGUAGAUUUUUUAAGAAUCUUUUCUUUUUAAUAGUAUAGAUUUUUUACCGUAAUAUCUAUUUUACAUUCCCUAAAAUAUCUAUUGCUUUCAAUGUGAAUAAUAAAUAAGAGCAUUGACUAUCAUAUAGUUAGAGAAAUAUAAAAUAAGACUAAAAAAUUAGUUAAGUAUAAUGCAAUGGUGCAGCAACAUUUUCUAAGUAGAUUUUUUUAAAACUUUUUCUUUUUUUAAUAGUAUAGAUUCUCACUUUUAUCCAUUACCAACCUUGUGUAUAUAUUUAUUUAUUUUUCAAGAAAUACACAUUAUAUAACUCAUUUUAACUUCUUCCACAUUUUGAAAACAGAUUAUCCUACUUUGCGGAGAAUACAAAUAUAUAGUUCCUAAAAUGUUUUGUUCUGUGAAAUUAGUUUGAAAUAUUUUAAAUUCUAUGUUUUAUCGUUAGUGGAUGGUCAUUAUGUAUCUCUUCUCCCAUUUUUAAGAUGAGUGGUCCUGUUUUUAAAACAAUUUACUAAAUUUUGAUUGAUUCUAUGUCAAAAUAAUUAAUUUUAUUUAAUCUAUUAAAAUUGGGUUUUAAUUUAUAAGAAACUUUUAGUUGAUGUGUUAUUUACAUAAUAUAUCGAGGAUAUUUAAAUUUAGUUUUAAUCUUUUAUUAAAGAUAUCAAAGUAAUGUAAUUUUUAGACCAAUUAGUUGGUACGUAUAUUGUGAGAGUAGGCAACCAAAGUCCUCAAAAUACGGAAUGGAUAAUAAAAUGUAUUAAAACAUUAAACUAUAAAAUAUAAGAUAAUUGACUGAAAAGUUUAUAUCAACUAUUUUAUAUAUAGAUUAAAUUUGGUUUUAUCAAAAACUGUAAAAAUAUGGUGAAAUAAAAACAUAUACACAUCACUGUUACAAAUUAAAAAAAAUUAGCCUAGACAUUUUUGAUCUCUAAACCCAAUACAUAAAUGAAAUAACUAGAUGAAAUACAUACAUGCCACACAUUUAUACUCCUAACUAAUGUUAAAACUAUAAAUCUAUUGUUAUUAAAUUAUAAUAAAAUCAUUUCAGUGAUUAGUGAAUAUGUUAUAUAAAGAUAAUAUGUUUUUUAACAAAUGUUAUUGAUUGUAAAUAGCCUACGCUAUGCUAAAGUCAACUCUAAUGAAUCUCUUUUUUUGAACAACUAUUCUAAUGAAAAUCAAAAACAUUAAAUUUGGUAUAACUUUAUUUUUCUAGUGAAACUUUAAAAUAAUACUAUUUCCUCAAAUUUGGUUUUAUAUCAAUAGUGUUACAUUCCGUACUAACCAUUUAAAUAAUAUUUUAUUUUUAAUUUAUUAAUAUGAUUAAAUUAAUUUUAUUAAUUAGUUUAAAUUCUUAAAAGUAAACAUAUCACAACAUUUGUAUUCUUAUUUUCACAUAAUUAACGUUAAGAUUUUUAUUUAUUUUUACUUUAUAAUAUAUCUACAUUACUAUUUAUUAAAUAUUUAAACUUGUAAUUAAAAAAAGUAUUUUUUAUUUUUAUUUUUACUUAUUUUUAUUAAAUAUGAUAUAUAUAUUAAAUAUGAUAUAUAUAUUAAAUAUGAUAUAUAUUUCAUUAUUUAUUAAAUAUGAUAUAUAUAUUUAUUAAAUAGUUCAAAUUUGUAACUAAAUAUGCUAAACCAAGUUUUAAACAUAAUAUAAUUUAUGAAUGAUUGUAUAUAUUUAAUUUAUCAAUUUUAUUCUUUAUUCAAUGGAGGAUUGCUAAAUUACAAAUAAAUAAUACUUAAUAAAAUUAAAAUUUGAUAAUAUAACAAUAUAAAAUAAUAUUUUGAUGUGAAAUUUAGUGUUAUGAUUUGAAAUUAGAAAUUAAAUCAAACACCAAAUACCAAAUUUAAUGUCAUGAUUGAAGUUGUCUUUAAAAAAUCAUACUUGUUUUCAAAACUAAAUGAUUACAUGUCAAAAAUAAAUUACUGAAAUAUUAAUCAGAUAUUGUUUAAGAUCCACUAAAUAAUAAUUAUGUUUCAUUUUAAUUGUCAUUUUAGAUUUAUGCACGCAGAUUAAUAAAACAUUUAAUUUUGAAUAUUUUCAAAAUAAAAAUACAAUUACCUAUACAACUAACCAGAUUUCAACCAAAAGAAAAAUAAACUUGAAAAUAUUGUUCAUAAAUUUUACAUUAAAAUUCUAAAACACACUUAUAUUUUUGAGAAAAAAAAAUUUUACCACAACAGUUAAACUGAAAUGAAAGAAUAUAUAGAAGGAGAUUGAGUGAUUUAUUAUGAUCCACCGCGACAUCAUUAAAAAAAUUACGAACUGUCUUAAUGAUGUCAUAAAUUAAAAUAUAACAUACGUGGGAAGGGGUUGACCCGGAGAUUAAUACGCGGCUGCUUUUUUUGUCACAGUAUACACGGCUGUUAAAAUGGAUUUUUGAGAUGUACUCGUCCGAUUGUUUUGUCAGGCUUACAUCUGCCAAAGAUAACCUUACACGUCACACCCCAGCUCUAUCAAUUUUAGUUCAAAUCUUUGUGAUUUUCACCUGUUAAAAUUUAAAACUAGUUUUCUAAGAUUUAGAAAGGUAGUUUUAUCUUGUUUAAAAAAUGGGUUUUAUCUUGUAGUUUUUGGUUUUUGUUUCUAUAAAAUCUAUUUUUCAUCCAAUCAAGAUUUUCAAAAAAUGGAUUCCCUAAAAUAUAGAAAAAUUUGUUUUUUUCAAAUAAAUGUUUUCUUAAUACAAAAACUAAAAACAGGCUUUUGACUAUGGUUUUCAGUUUUCUUUCUUUCUAUUUUACCCAUUAAUAUAGGAAAAUAUAUAAAAAUGCUAAUUACUAUAAAAAUAAGGUAUUGUAAAAUUCAAAUCUGUGUUCUAUUGUGACAGUGGGUCUAUUAUAUUCACAGGCUGUCAAGAAAAAAAAAUUGAAAAUUGGUUAAUUUAAAAUAAUUAGUAUAUACACAAGCAUCAAUUUUAUAUCUAUGCUAAUUGAAACGAACACUAUAUGUAAUAAAACUAGUAGAGUGUGAAUGAUAUUCUAAUGAAAUCAAUUUUUUUUUUAAUUAAUUGAUCUUCAUAAAAAAAUUGCUUUACUAUAGUGAACUACACAGUAACUUAUAUACAAUUUUAUACCUAUCAAUAAAAUAAAUUUAAUAAUUCAAAAUUAAUUAUUAAAAUAAUAUGUAAAUAUUACUGUUAAUAAAUUUUGUAUUAUUCAGAAAAAUUAAUUUCAUAAUUUUACUAUUUCAUGCAUAUAAACUAUAAGACUUUAUAACCAAUAUAGUUCUUAGUAUAUAAAAAUAUUUUUCAAAAACUUGUCAAUAAAAUAAAACUAAAUCCCGAGUCAGUGGUCGGGUGGCGUAUGGCGUUCCAAGGUUCCUUAAGGGACAUGAGUUCGAAUCUAUCGCCACUCAGAUUAUCCUGAUUUGUGGCACUUGCCGCAUGAAGUUUCCGUCAACGUAAACCCGGAUGCAAUGCCUCGUGAGAUUAGUCCGGCUUCGGUCCGGGAACUCCAUAAUAUAAAAACAAUAAAAUAAAUAAAUUUAUAAAAUAAAACCAGUUUUAUGUAAAGUUAAGUUAAGUUCUUAAAAAUAAUAGACAACUACUAUAAUUAAAUAAAUUAAUAAUCAAAACUUUAAAGAAAUGAAAAAUAUACAGAAAAAAAUAAUAUUAAAAAUUAGAAAAAGAAAAAAAAAGAAAAAAAGAAAAAAAAACAAAUAUCAAAAAUCAAAAACCAGAAUCUAAAAUCACCAUUCAUGUUUUUGAAAAAAAAACUAAAAGUUACUGCAAAAUCAAAAACCAAAAACUAAAAACUAAAAUUCAAAAACUAGAAACUAAAAACCAAAAUCUAAAAUCUAAGUAAACAAUCAUCACCUUAGUUGAAAUUGUACGUAAGGCUCUUUCUCUAUGUAUAUGAGAAGAAAAAAGCUAAAGCUACGGAUGCAUAGAGUUGUUUCUCGAGUUUUUGGUGUUUGUUUUGUAGGAUUUUUAUUAUUAUAAAUUAAAAUUAAAACAAUUAUUUGGACUAAAAUAAAUUCGUCUAUAGUAAUUUUUAUAAUGGGACUAUUAGCGUUUCUAUUUUCCCAAAUCAUCCAUCCAUCAUUCAACUCGAGAACGGAUCCAUACUUUUAUGAGUUUUCUUCUCGCCACUUUCUAUCAAACAACGACCUAUGUAAGAUGGAGGAUUUGUCGAUUUGUACUAAUUUAGAUAAAAUUUUGAUGUCAAAACAAAUUAAAGAAAAAUUAUAAAAAGGUUUAAUAUAAAAUGUACAUAAAAAUUUUUGUACGUUCGUUUUCAAAGGAUGACCAAACAAAGUCGAAAAAGAACGAGCAAACCAAAAAUAUAUAAUAGUAUAGAAUAAAUGGACAUGAGGAAGGGAAAAAACAAAAGGAUCAACUAAUACAUGACUUCUGAAAAAAAAACAUUAAUAUCAUCGACAAGACAUGCAGUUUCUUUGUCUUUCUAGUGUAUUUCAGCCAUAUAUUCUACAUCAUAUCUCGAAUACACACACACUGAUAUAUACAUAUAAACGUGUAUAUAAAUGCAUAUAUAAUUAAUAAAUGGACAUGACAUUGCCAAAAAGAAGGAAAGAAGCAACACAAAAUUAGAAUGGUAAGUAAAUGAUGUGUUGGUGGGUUGUCUUACAUUAUGCUUUAUGAAUGGUCCAUUCCUAUCUUAAACUCACCUCUGUUCUUUGUUUUUCCCUGUUGUUAAAAUCUUAGUCUUCUUCACAAACUAUAUACACUUAGUUUUCUUGAUUUGUGCUCAAUUUGUCUCUGCGCACGAAAACUUGGGUGUAAUUAGUAUCUAAUGGAGUAAAACGGUGGGAAAUAGAGAAAAAAUAAAAACAAAAUCCAGAGUAAAAUUUUCCUCCCGGUUAAUGUAAAGGAACAAAUUAUUCUACUUUUACUUUCUUUUAGCGUAAACAAGGUAAAAAUAUAUUUUACCUGAUUGUACAAAAGUGGCGUAACACAUCAGAAAUAUUUUUUACUCUAUUAUUUUCUCGUCAAUUGUGCUUUGCAAUCCCACUUUUAUACUUCUUCAGUGUCAACAAUCUCACAUACAAUUUGACGUUAACAAGUAAUUUUAAAUCCAAUGUUGAAGAUAAUUUAUAAAAAAAAAUUGAGGAAUUAAUUGAUGAAUGGAAAAUAUAUUGACGAAUUUGUAUAUAAAAUUGAAAUUUAGUAACGAACGGGUUGACUUAUACACUUCUUAGAGAAAAUAUUAGAUGUUGAAUCAUACAUGAAUACGUUUAAAUGACCCAUUAAGCAACAAGAAAUCUUAAAACUUGGUUAUUAGUAAUUAUUACAGUUGAAAAGGGUUAUUAAUAAUUACUCACAUGUGGAAACCCUCUAGUCCAGUGGUUUGAGUAAGAGUUCAUUAAUGGUUCUAUACUAGGAGAUAUGAGGUUCAAACCCUAGAAAAACGCAAAUUAUGCAGAUCAUGAAAAAAAGUAGUUACAAGAUGUCUUCAGCAUGGUGCAAGGACAUAUCAUCGAACAUAGAUCUCAUAGAGCGGCUCAGAGCGAUGCAGUCAGACGUGCAUUCUCAUAUAAUGGUAGAAUUGCCGGCUGUAAAAUCGUCUAUAUAAUAUUUCUCAUCGUUGUAAUAGCAUAAUUAAUCAGACGUUAAAAAAAAAAAGUAAUUACUCACAUAAAACAUAUACAGACUAUCGAACAUAUAAACAUUUCCUAACCAGAAUUUUAUUAUAUUCGACUACUAUAGGUAAACCUGCAAAGCAAUUUGUACUACCGUACAAUCUUUCUGGAUUCAGAAAGUACCAUUAAAAUUAGGAUAUAUGUUGCCUUCGGAAAUAUUUGUCAAUCUACUAUUCAAAAAUCUUUAUAGGUAAAUGUUUCCGUGAUCAAAAAUAAACUUGUAUGCUAUUUCAUAGAUAUAUAAUAUUUCCGUAGCAAUAUUUUCUGUCAUUAUAGUUCUGAGGAAUAACAUACUAAUUUAAAAUCUUAAAGUAGUAAUAUCAAUAAAUGUUUUGAACUAUAUUUGUGCUGUCUGGUCAGCCGCUGAGAAAGUGAAUAUAUCAAAGUUAGUACUGGAAAUUUUGUGAUUAUUUAUGAUUUUCUUACUUAGAAGUCUUUAUAUCUGUUGUUCAAAAAAAAAAAAGAGGUCUUUAUAUCAAAAUUAAGUCUUAACUAUAUUUGUAACUUUUAGUUUAGCUUAAAUCACCUGUAACGGAGGAUUGAAUUUUCUUCGGUGUACUGAUUGUAUCGUUCUGCCUGAUGCCUAGAGAUGGUAAUCAUGGAUUUGGACCGCAGACAUGACCCAUAAAAAACUGUCACGGAAUGGUAUUGGGACGAAGUUUUCUAGGCCCGUAAAUUUGCAGGCAUCACGGGACGGAUUUUUGCGGGACUGGAUUUUUUACGAGAUGAGCCGAAAAGUGAGAGAGUGAGAAAAAAACGAUUUUUUUGACUUUUCCCCUAUAAAACAUAAAGAGUUCUGGCGAUGACGAUUCAAGCUAAGGUGAUGAUGAUUCAAGAUCCGGCGAUGACGACUCCAGCUCCAGCGAUGACGAUUCGAGCUCUGGUGGUGUUUUGAUUUGGUUUUCACUUUUUAUUACACACAACUAUGAAUUGAUUUAUUACAAUGUGGGAUUUCUUGUUUAAGUUGAUUGAUUUUAUUUUCAGUACUAUGAAAUGGUGUUUUUCUUAAAUUAAAUUUGGUUACAAUGAUAUGGUUUAGGAGAAAAGUUAGUUGUAUAUCAUGUCACUUGUAUAAUUUGACAAAGUGAUUCAUGAUUUUUUUUUUAAAUCCAAAGAAUUACGAAAAGAGAUGGUUUGUUGAAGACAUACAACAUUUGAACCAAGUUAUUACAAAAACAACUACAAUCAGAUUCAAACUUAAUAAAAUCUUAUGCUGAUAACAAAAAAAAAACUUUUAACUCAAGAUUGCAAACACAAACAGAGCUUUAUGGCAUUGAUUUUGAUAAGACUUUAGUGAAGCUUAAUGAGCUCUCUUCAACUCUCUUACACAACUUUUCCACUUGAACAUUCAUGAAAGAAGUUGUAGUAGGCGGACUGAUAAGGAGGCAUCCCGCGGGAUGGCCCGCGAAUGCCUUAUAUAUUCAGCGAUACGGGUUUGGGCCGGCAUUCUGAAGACAGCAGUCCGCAGGGGACACGCCCGCUGUGACCCGCUCAAUGACAAACCCGCCGCGGUACGGGAUGGGACGAGAAAGAUAAACCUGUUUGACAUCUCUAUCGAUGCCCUUUGGGGAAGAAAUGAAUAAAAUAUAUUUUAUUUAAAAUAAAAAGUCUUAAAUAUAUCUAUUAUUUAGGAAAAUAUUAAGUAGGAUGGGCACAAAGAGUAUAUCCAAAAUUUUAAAAGUAUAUCUGAGGAUAAUCAAUUUUCAAUUCGAUUUGAUUUGUAACUUUUUCAUAUUUGAUAUUUUGGAUAUCAGAAAAUUAGCAUUUUUACUAGAUACCUGAUCUGAUCCAUAAAAAGUAAUAAAGAAAAAUAUAAAAAUAAUAAUAUUUCAUUAGUUUUUUAAAAAAAUUACACUUUAAAAGUUUUAGUAAAUAAAUAAUCAAUUUAGUGAAUAAAAUAUUAUAAAAUUAUAUAAAUACAUGAACAAUGAUAUGCUAUCUUUUUUUUUGAACAACUACAAUGAUAUGCUAUCUAAUUAUACAUAUGUAUAUAUGAAUAUAACGGAUCGGAUAUCCGUUGGAAAAUAUUUUAGUGUUUGCUAUUUAGUCCAUCUUUAACAGAUAAUAAAUAUUAGUAUUUGAUUUGAUUUGUAAAAUUACUAAUAUUUUUAUAUUUUGAAUCAAACCGACACAAAUAAUGUAUCAAAUCAAAUUAACAAAUAUUUUGCCCAUCCCCCCCUCCAGAUUACGAAGAGAGUAUAUAUGUAGAGUAGAGAGUGAUGGUUGAAAGACAUGAGAUGUGACAAAAGAGAAGAUGGGUGUAGUUAAGUUGUUGCGUCACUGUCCACCAAACCUUCCAAAUCAAACAGAAGCGUCACUGCUCAGACAACCAAACCAAACUACCCAAACGUCCCUUUCGAUGUUUCACCAUCAACUGCUUAAACCACCAUUAACUCCUUUCUCCCAAAGUAUUCUUUUAUAUAUUCAAAGCUAUUUAAACACAAACAUAUCACAACUAAGCUGAAUAUAUACAAUUAUAAAUAAAUAUGUCAGUUAUGAUAAUUAUUAUUGAAUAACCUUUAUCUGCAGGUGGUAAAAUUAUGAUAAUUAUUAUUUGAUUUAGAAUGGAGUAAAAAAUUAUUCCGAUGUAUUACUCUGUCUUUCACCAAUAUAAUUUUUUUUAAAUUAAAAUAUGUUUUCAAGAAAAAGUAAAAUAUAUUUUCAUUUACUCCAAAAAGUAACAAAAGUGGUGAAAUCUAUUAUUCUAAACAAAUUCACAAAAAUAUUUUAUUCUAGGUUUUGCUUCUUUCUUUCCUUUGUAUUUCACUUUUUUAUUUUCAUCUUUUUACUCUGUUAAAUACCAAUAAAAACCGUAGAAAUUAUUAAGACUGAUUUUCGAGACGGAUAUGAAAAAUAAUUGAUUAAUUAUAACAUGUAAACUAUAAAAUUAUUAUAUUUGAAACAGUUAUAUAAACUUUUAGAUAUAUGAUUAACUUUAAAAAUGUAUACAACUAAUGAUAUAAUAUAUAUAUAUAUAUAUGCUUAUAAAAUUGAAAACAAGCAUCCGUGAAACUGCGCGGAUCAAGAUCUAGUUGUAUGUUUAAAAGAUGUGAUAUAACCGUCUAUUGUGGUUUCAAAUACCAUGCAAAGCUGUCUAUUGUUAUAGAUCAUCUACUAGAUUUUAACAUGAUUGCAUGAGGUAUUUUUAUUUUUAUUUACAAGUUAUGUUUUUUUCUUUGACUAUACAAGUUAUGUUUUAAACUUACAAUUUCAUGAUUUAGUGAUAUUUUAUAAAUUUUGGUUAUAAUAUUAUUAUUUUUUCUUUGAGUAAUUUAUUUAUAUGAGUCUUGAAGCGAUGCAUAUUUGUUACAACUAUAAAUAUUAUGCAGAUAAUUUAUCAAAAAAUUGUGUUAUGCGCGGAUACAAUGUUCAUUUUCAUAGCAUCGACAUUGUUAUUCACAGCUAUAUUUCAUUUUUGUAGUGAUACAUAAAUUGUUUUUUGAAAAAAUAAUUAAGAAUGUAUUAAGUGUCUUUCAAAAGUGUGUAUAUUAUAAGACGGACGAUGGAUAAUUUUUCGGUUGAUAUGUUUCUUAAAUGGAUAAUUAUUAUACUAAUAUUUAUUUGAAAAAAUGUAAAAUGUAUAAUAAUAAUUAAAGUUAUUUAAGUAAUGUGUUCCAGUAACCCGUUUUGUAAACCUUGUUCCUUAUACGUUUAACGUUAUAGUGCAUAGUGUUUGACUUUGAAGUAAAAAUAUAUGCACAUAACUUAUAUCUAGUGUGAUUUGUAAAUUUUGGUUAGGUUAAGUGUUAACCAAAUUAACAGAUUUGGAUGACCGAGGUUUUUGUAUAUAAUAUUUCAAAUAAUAUUACAUGUGUUGUUGGAUAAGUUCAAAUUUAAAUGAUAGUACAUAAGAAUAUGAUUCUAAAUUAAUAUAGUAGAUACUUUUAUAAAAACUUUAGUUCAAUGAAGUAGAUUAGUUAAACAGAUAAUAUAUAAUCUUAAACUAUAAAAAUAUUAGUUUUUUAUAUAAUUUCCAAUUAAAUAUUUUUUUUCUUCCAAAGUGUCGAUAUAAUAAAAGUGUUUGUAAAUAUUUAUCGUAUAUGGAUAGGUUUUAUAUCCAAUAAUUAUUUGAAGUAAUGUGAAACAUAUAAAAAUAUUUAAAGUUGUUAUAAGUAAUGCAAUCCAAUAACCCGUUCUAUAAUCGUCGUUUUUAUGCACUCAUUAUAAGAGUGUAAAUAGUGUUUAACGUAGUAAAACUUAUAAAUAGAUUUAAAAUUUACAUACUGAUACAUAUGCAAAUAACUUAAAUAUAUUGUGGUUGGUAAAUUUUUGUUAGGUUAAGUGUUAAUCUAAAACAAAACAUUCCGAUGACCAAAUUUUUUAGUAAUCAAAUUAUAUUAAAUAUAUUUACAAUCCAGUUGGAGUGUAUAUCAUUGGUUCAAUAUCGGAUUAUACCAAAUGGUUAACCAUAUGGUCUCAUUGUUUUAAAUAGAGGUUUACAUCAAAAAGAUUUUUUAUCUCUUUAUUUAUUUAUACCGUGUACUAAGGCUUUGAUUGCAAAUAUUAAAAAGGUAGCCAGAGCAUGUCUACCGAUAUAUCGUAUGCUUUUUGCAGACGAUAGUCUUCUCUUUUGUAAACUUCAAAAAGAAGAAUGUUAAACUAUUCUCAGAAUUUUAAAGGAGUAUGAGAUAGUAUCAGACCAACUCAUAAGUUUGAUAAGUUUUCGAUUCAAUUUGGGCACAAGGUUCAAGAAUCAGCCAGACAUGAGUUGAGAGAUAUUUUGGAUAUCCCGAAUUUUGGAGGAAUGAGAACUUAGCAAGGACUACCAAAAUUUUUUGGGAAAUCCAAAAUUCAAGUUUUUAGUUUUGUGCAAGGUAGGCUAAAUAAUAUGAUCAACGGUUAGACUUUUAAGUUUUUCACAAAAAGAAGAAAAAAAGUGAUCAUCAAAUCAAUGGUUUUGGUAUUACUAAAUCAUGUGAUGUCUUGUUAUCGUUUACCUAAGGCAACCGUAAAAAAACUGAUAAGCGCAGUAGCACAAUUCUGAUGGAGUCCAGGGAGAAGCACAAGAAGAAAUCAUGGGACAAAGUAUGUGUUAAUAAAGAGGAAAGAGGAUUGGGGUUCAAAUAUAUUACUGAUUUCAACACAGCGAUGAUUGGUAAACAGUUAUGGUGUUUGAUAGGGAAGACGAACACUUUAUUUUUUCGAGUUUUCAAAGGUCGGUAUUACAAGAACGCAUCACCCUUGGAACUGAUUUGUUCAUAUUCUCCGUCAUAUGGCUGGCGGAGUAUCAUAUAUGCUAGAUCUUUGGUAAGCAAAACACUAAUCAAAAAGGUAGAAUCAGGAUCAUCCAUAUCUGUAUGGAACGAUCUCUGGCUCUCAACCACUCGCCCGAGACUAGCUAAUAAAACCAACACAACUAUUACCCAAACCUCAAAGUGGAGACUCUCAUUGAUUCUACUCCAUGUUCUAAAACGCGGUCACCGCGGCCACAAACGCGGCGGUUAAGCGCUCCACGACUCUUAAGCGUCUUGAUUUUGCUAUACUCGGCUAAUUAUACAGAACACUUAGAAAAGUUAAUUUUUUUGUUCUUUUUGAGUUCAAAAUCAAUUGCUAUAUGAUAGAUCUGUGAGUUUAAUGUGUAAACAACAAAAAGUAAGCACAAGAUUUAAGGACUAUGUAUUUUUUAAUGGCGGUCGCAGAAGGUUUACAGUAAACGUAAACCCUUAAAAAAGGAAGACGAAGCUAAAAAUUAUGAUUAUGCCCUUCACAUUAAAAAAAGAGAGCAAAAAGCGUUGUUGCUGCGUUUCGAACACGAGUCCCGACAGUACUUAGGGAAAGCCGCAUCACCAGACCAUACUAACUUUUCAGAAUUGUUUACUUCAAACGCUUAAAACUUAAAAACUAAUCUGCGAUUAAUCUACGAUUAAUCCCCGCUUUUUUCAUUAUACGCUUGGCCCAAGCCGAGUGUACGGAUAACUCCUAGCGAGUUUCCGAACAGGGAUUCUACUUUGCAAACUUGGAACUCGCAGGCACUCCGGACUUUAAUGGAUCCACAUGAUGUAAAAAUUAUAGAAAAUAUACCACUGAGCAGAACCCAGAUGGUAGAUAGAGAUGGCUGUCAUUUCACAAACAAUGGAAAAUAUAUGGUUAAUCAGGAUAUCAGGUAGAACGGAUUUAUCCAGACAGGAAAAAACCACAGUUAAUAUUUGGACCCACAGUGAAUGUAUUGAAGGCAUUCUUCUGGAAAAUACGGUGCCCUCCAAAGAUAAAACGUUUUCUAUGGCAAUUGGUGACAAGGUGUGUAGCAGUCAAGAAGAAUCUGCAAGCGCGAGGGAUAACUGGAGAUAUAUGCUCUACAAGAUAUGAAGCCGAUGAGGAAUCGAUAAACCAUGUGUUUUUUGAAUGUCUGCUAGCGCUUCAGGUUUGUGCUCCUUGAAAGAUACCAUCAAAUCCAGCUAUUUUUCCAACAAGGUCUCUCUUUACAAACAUGGAUCAUCUCUUCUAGAGAGUCUUCCCGCAGUUAGAUGAUCAUCAGUUUGCAUGAUACUAUGGUACAUUUGGAAAGGAAUGCAUCAUAAAGUUUUUAGUAAUGUGGAAAUUGAUCCCAGGGACACGCUUAAAUUGGCAGAAACAGAAUCAAUACUCUGGGCUGAGGCACAUAUAGUGAGUGAACAAAGGACAGUAUCACACGUAGAGGUUACGUCUUUACCGCCAAUUCGAGGAAGAUGGUGUUUCACAGAUGGUUCCUAAAAAGAGAAUGAUAUUCUCUUUGUACAGGAUUGGUUCAACACUUUAGAAGGAUUUGAUGGGCUAGUGGAGGCGAGGAAUGUUCGGACUAGUUUCUGUCCUCUUCAUGCGGAGAUGGAAGUACUACUCUAGGCAAUAUAAUGUAUGAGGAACUUACUUCAAUUUCAGGUUAAGUUUGCUAACGGAUUGUUCUCAAUGGGUGAAGAUGGUUUCAGAACAAGAAUAAUGACCAGCUUUUGCAAGUUAUUUGAAAGAUAUUAAGGUCCUGGAAGAAAGUUUCCUACGAUCAGAGAUCAUCCAUGUACCAAGAACGCAAAAUUCAACGGCGGAUAGCCUAGCACGCAGGAAGCAACCGUCUUUUGUCGUUCACAUGGAUCAAUAUUAGGGCUGGGUUGCGGGUCAAACCCGCCCCAUUGACCCCUGGGUUUCAAAAAAAAAUUUGUCAAAAUAUCCAACCCACACAGUCCGCAGACAAAUAUAUUUAUAUCCGCACCCACCCCGCUUAAUUCUAGGGGUAACCAGCGGGUUAUAUUUUUUUUAAAAAAUAAUUAUGUAAUAUAUAUUUUUUUCUAAAAAUACUAAAAAUAAUAUAUUUAUAAAUAAAAUUUUAUAUAUUUUUAAAAUUUUAAUUAUUAUUUUUAAAAAUUACCGUAUUUUCUUUAAAAUAUACUUUUUAACAAAAACUAUACAUUUUUAACAAAAAAAUAUCUUUUUAAUUUUUUUUAAAAAAAAUUGCGGGUUGGCGGAUACCCGCGAUUCAAAGUCCACCAAUCCGCAUCCGCCCCGCAUAAAAUGCUCAUGCCCCGCACCCGCGAAUUGAUUUUUUCAAAUUGGUCGACCCUCACCUCCCCUGUGGUGGGUCAAACUGGCCGGGCCCGCGGGUGAAGACUCAUAUUCCCAGGCCUAAUCAAUAUAUUUCGGUUUGAUUUACAGAGUUUGUAUGAGUGUGUAUAAGUUGAUGACAAAGAAAGAACUAUUAUAAGUUUUGUUGGACCAUUUAAAUUUUAAAUGAUAAACUUUAUCAAAACAUAAAAAUAGAACUUUAAAUUAGUAGAGUAUAUAUAUAUCGCAAAAAAAUAUGUAGGAUCAUUAGUUGAAGAUUUAUAUACUGCGGAAAAUUUUGAAUCAUAGUCAUUGUUCAUCAUGAUUGUAUAUGAUGCAUAUAGUUAAUCCAUUAAUCAUCAUUUGUAAGAACAUAAAAAAUCUCUAAUUAAACAAAAGUCAUUGUUAAGAACAGUUUUAUUAAUUUUCAAAAAGAAAAAUUAUCAAUUUUUUUUUGUAAGACGCAAGUGUAUUCUGGCCUUUUGGAGAUUGAAGAAAGGGAGAAAAAAAAAACUAAUGGCGUCUCGACAAAAGAUAAGAUAAAAUUCGUGGCUUAUUUAUAAAAGUGGGCCAAACGAAAAGUAUUUGGGCCAAAGGACAAGGACAUAGCGGAGCUAUACUGAGCCAGACGCGUACAUAAAUCACACACUUAACAACUCGUUAACUUACGCUCGUGACAGCUAGAGACAACUAACUUCAAAACGCUUUAUUAGUGUAGUGGGUCUGUUUUGUAUGAAAGUUGACAUGUUAUUGCUGAUCUGGCACAUAUCUGAUGUAAACGUGGCAUCAUCAUCGCGGCUAACUUUGUCGCCCACGUUAUGUCCUUUCUCUGUUACCCUAUUAGCUGAAACAUGAUUGGCCAACUGAUUCCAUUUAUAUCUUUACAUCUUUUUCUGUUUAUUUUGUCAACUCAUCUCUUGUGAUUUCCUAUUAUUAUUUUUUGUUUCAAGCAAUGAUGAUGAAAAAGAUUCUUAGCUCCUAAAUAUAAGAGAAUGGAACAAGAUUCUUUCAUUUAAUUGAUUUUUAUUAUAUUUGUUGUCAACAUCUUAAUGAUUUUAGGAUGUAACUAUAAUUUAUCAAUAUCAAAAUAAUAGAAGUUAACUCAAGCAAGAUGGCGCAGUGGUUAACUAGGUCGAGUAUUUUGGGUGUGCAUAAAUUCCCUAAUGUUAUUGAAUCGUAUUGCUUAAUUUAUGCUAAAAUAUGCUCGCCUAAAAAUAAGCAAUGUUGAUUUACUAUUCGCCAGUAACAUCUACUCUAAAUAAAAUUUAAAGUAUAUAUAGAGAUGUAGCCACCACUUACAUAAUAUUCACAUGUCAUAUAUUUUCAAAACAUUUGUCUGGGUGUGAAGUGAGAUUGGAAAGACAAAUCACACAUAAUUCAGCUUAUGGGUAAAAAAAAAAGAAACCACUCGGAGUUGUAAGUGUUUGUUUGAGCAUGCUACGCCAUUCUAGUUGUCAACAUACUGGAUCAGAUUGCAAAGACAUGAUUUUGAUGAUUAAAAACCUUAAAUAUGGCCAAGUUUUUUUAUUAGAGUCAAAGGAGUUUGCAAAAUUACAAAAAAAUUGUAAGCCUUCAACAUUUCUUGUAUAUUUCGGAUGCAAACUGCAAUUGUUGAUUCAUUAGUUAGAAUUGUUAAUCUAUUUUUUCGGAUCACUUUUGUUUAAAAAAUAGAAUAAUUUUUAUGUCAAUUUUUUUUUAAACGCUUAAUGACUCAAAACCGAUAUUGUUAUGAAUCUUUACUCAAAAAAAGACUAUAAAAAUAUAUGUGAUUGGUUAUAACUUUUGUUUGAAAUACUGACCACAAGACUCGAUACUAAUUCUUUAAAAAUAGUAUAAGUUCAUGUAUAUUUAUUAUAGGUUAAAAUGAUUUGUUAUAAAUUUUUAUUUGAAAUAUUGGACUUGGAAAUGUGCUAUCCAUUCCGGAUUCGAAACCUAUUUUUUAUUAUGGGAUAUCUAAUUAUCUUGUAAAACAGUCAUGCUUAUCUAUUACUGGUAAAUUGAUCUCUUAAGGAUUAGUAUGAACCUCAACAUGAUAUAUUGACACAAAAUACUCGGUAAUACCAAAAGAAAUAGUAAGAGUCUUGUACAUUUAUUGUAUAUUUUUAUUGUGUACAUUUAUUGUAUAUUUCACGAAACUAGUCGAAUAGCUAGCUAUCAACAAUAAUCGAUGGUACAGAACAAAACAUAUAUAAUUGGAUAUUUUAAACAAAAAAAAUAUAAUUGAAGAUAAGCUGGGCCAUAAUAAUUGAUGUUUUUGUUUUCACUCAACUCUUAAAUGAUUUUGUUUUUUGUCCAUUAACAAAUAAAUAUAAAAUAAAAUAAAAAGAAAUAAUAAAUA